GGAGAGAUGGCGGAGCGGUUGAACGCGGCGGUCUUGAAAACCGCAGGCCCUUCGCGGGGCUCGUGGGUUCGAAUCCCACUCUCUCCUCCA
rnacentral:tRNA from 1 species